rnacentral:lncRNA from 1 species
CUCCUGUUUCCUACAGUCGGCAGAACCCUCUUGGUCUCAUCAUUGCCCUGGAUGAGAACAAUGAAGCAUCAGGAGAACUUUUCUGGGAUGAUGGGGCAUCAAUAGAUACUGUGGCCAAUAGAGUAUACCUUUUCUGUGAGUUUUCUGCCACCCAAG